rnacentral:rRNA from 1 species
AUUUCGAAGACAACUAGGAUGUUGGCUCAGAAGCAGCCAUUCAUUCAAAGAGUGCGUAAUAGCUCACUAGUCGAGAGGUCCUGCGCCGAAAAUGUCCGGGGCUAAAACACACUGCCGAAGCUUUGGAAUUGAAUUAAUUCAAUUGGUAGAGGAGCAUUCUUAAAGGGACGAAGCAGUACCGUAAGGAGCUGUGGACUUUUAAGAAGAGAGAAUGCCGGAAUGAGUAGCGAGAGGAAGGUGGGAAUCCUUCCGGCCGAAUAUCUAAGGUUUCCAGAGUAAAGCUGAUCUGCUCUGGGUAAGUCGGGGCCUAAGGCGAGGUCGAAAGACGUAGUCGAUGGAUAACAGGUUGAAAUUCCUGUACUACCCUGUAACAGAACUGUGGGGACACAGGCAGAGAGCGUGAGCCGGGAAUGGAAAGACCGGUAUAAGCGAGGUAGGAGAAGAGUUGGCAAAUCCGCUCUUUAAUCUGAAGACGUGAUGUGGACUGAAAAUAAGUAGGGAAGCACGUGAGCUGACUGUCAAGAAAAGCCGCUAUUGUUUGCAGGAUACCCGUACCGUAAACCGACACAGGUGGAUGAGGAGAGAAUCCUAAGGCCGACGGGAGAAGCAUUGUUAAGGAACUCGGCAAAAUGACUCCGUAACUUCGGGAGAAGGAGUGCCAGUAAGAUGGCCGCAGAGAAUUGGCCCAAGCAACUGUUUAGCAAAAACACAGGUCUAUGCAAAACCGAAAGGUGAGGUAUAUGGGCUGACGCCUGCCCGGUGCUGGAAGGUUAAGGGGAGAGGUUAGCGCAAGCGAAGCUUUGAACUUAAGCCCCAGUAAACGGCGGCCGUAACUAUAACGGUCCUAAGGUAGCGAAAUUCCUUGUCGGGUAAGUUCCGACCCGCACGAAAGGCGUAAUGAUUUGGGCACUGUCUCAACAAUGCACCCGGUGAAAUUGAAAUACCAGUGAAGAUGCUGGUUACCUGCGCCAGGACGGAAAGACCCCAUGGAGCUUUACUCCAGCUUGAUACUGGGAUUCGGUAUUGCAUGUACAGGAUAGGUGGGAGGCUAGGAAAUGGUAACGCCAGUUGCCAUGGAGCCAAUGUUGGGAUACCACCCUUGCAGUACUGGGUUUCUAACCAGCAGCCGUGAUCCGGCUAGGGGACAAUGUCAGGUGGGGAGUUUGACUGGGGCGGUCGCCUCCGAAAGGGUAUCGGAGGCGCUCAAAGGUUCCCUCAGAAUGGUUGGAAACCAUUCGAAGAGUGCAAAGGCAGAAGGGAGCUUGACUGCGACACCGACGGGUGGAGCAGGUACGAAAGUAGGACUUAGUGAUCCGGUGGUAUAAAGUGGGAUUGCCAUCGCUCAACGGAUAAAAGCUACCCUGGGGAUAACAGGCUUAUCACUCCCAAGAGUUCACAUCGACGGAGUGGUUUGGCACCUCGAUGUCGGCUCAUCGCAUCCUGGGGCUGAAGUAGGUCCCAAGGGUUGGGCUGUUCGCCCAUUAAAGCGGUACGCGAGCUGGGUUCAGAACGUCGUGAGACAGUUCGGUCCCUAUCCGGCGUGGGCGUAAGAUAUUUGAGAGGAGCUGUCCUUAGUACGAGAGGACCGGGAUGGACUGGCCGCUGGUGUAUCUGUUGUCUUACCAAAGGCAUAGCAGAGUAGCCAAGCCGGGAAGGGAUAAACGCUGAAGGCAUCUAAGCGUGAAGCCCCCCUCAAGAUGAGAUAUCUCAUAACGUCAAGUUAGUAAGACCCCUUGAAGACGACGAGGUAGAUAGGGCAGAGGUGGAAGUGUGGUAACACAUGGAGCUGACUGUUACUAAUAGGUCGAGGGCAUAACCAA